AGAUCUUUUGUCAGUUCUUUUGUAAUUUUUAUGAUUAUUAUAACAAUCAUUCAACUUCCUGUUAUAACGGCAUGGAGGCUCUGUUUGUUGCGACUCAUACUUUUCUUCAUUAACUCAACCUGGUUUUUAAGCUCAUUAUUCGAAAGAUACUUUGAUAUUGUGAGGCUGUUGGAACUCGUUCAUCAUUGUUUUUAUCUUCAACAUAUUUUUGCAGUCUAAGCAAAUUAAGAUGAAAGAGGAAGCAAGUGAACAAGAAUUAGAAAACCUAAAGUCUUUCCUGUCUCAGAAGAGGCUCUGGCUCCACCAGAUCACCAACCAGUUCUGAGGAUGAACCUCCACAUCGUCUUCAUGGUGGCCACGUGAUGGACUGGUGACCUGUCCAGAGUGAACACCGCCUCUCAUCUGAUGACUGCUAGAGAUGGGCACCACCAGCCCCCCUCACCACCCUGCAAGGAUCAGCGUGCUCAGAUCAUGGAUAGAAAGUUUUUAAGGCAAAGAAGACCCCUAGAAAUGUUUUUUCACCCCAGGCAUCUGGUCCCAAUCAUUAUCAGUUGUGAUGAUGCCACAUACAUAGUGAGUCCACAACAUCUUAAAAUUGUUCCUGUAAAGUGCAGUGGUCCAGUGAAUGGGAAUGUUCUGCUGAUCCUCAUUGUUCUUCGGAAGGAGAAAUGUCAGUUUGUCUGGAGUAAUACUGGAAUACUGUGAUAUUAAAUUAAAACAAUACUUUUUGGUGAAACAUUCUCACAUAUCCUCUGAAGUGUAGCUGUUGUUUUAUUGUGCUAAUUUUCAUAAGCAUGUUGUCUGUAAACUUUGAAUACAUUGACAAUUUGUACAAUUCUGUUAUCAUAUAUUGUCAGUGGCCUCUUGGAAAAACGUCAAUUUAUUGAAUACAAAUUUGUUUCACCUGGAAAGUGUGUUGCAGUUGAUACUUCUCUGUUCUGGUAGCCUAAUAUGUUUGCAGUACUGUAGUGUGUUCGAAGCAUGUAAUGUACAAAGUGACAAAGCAGAAUAAUAAAAAAUAUUAAGUAAUUAAAAACUUUAUUUCAUUAGCAAUUAUAAUACGAAAGUAUAAUUGUAGAAUAUUGUGAUUGCACUACUAAUAUAUGAAAUAUGUAAUGCCAAUAUAAAUAUAUUUUAAAUGUAAUUCAAUCACAAAAUAGUACACUCAAAAUAUACCAAUCAAGCAUGUUUAUAUUACAUAUAAAACAAAAUACUUAAAGUAUACAAAGCUUAACUUAAAUUGUUCCAAAAAGUUGGUGAAAGUACACUUUAAAUUGUACUGUAAUACAAUUUAAAAACUAUUAAAAUACACUAAGCACAAAAUUAGUUGUUCCAAAAUGCUACACUUCCAGUUAAUUAAUCCUAAGUGAACUUGAAGUACACUCAUGACUGAAAAUAAAUCGUGUUCCAAAUUAGUAUGCAAAUUGGAUUUAAGUGUCAAUUUUAUUGUUGUGCUAUUUGAGAGCUGGGUUGAUUAGUUUGUCUGGUGAGCUCAAUUAAAGGAAAUCUGCUUAAGAAGGAUGUUCCACAUUAUUAAGCAGGCUACAGGUUUCAAGCAAUAUUGGAAAGAGAA